rnacentral:misc_RNA from 1 species
UCAAACUUGGUCAUUUAGAGGAAGUAAAAGUCGUAACAAGGUUUCCGUAGGUGAACCUGCGGAAGGAUCAUUAUAGAAUAAACAAUGCUUGGGUUGCUGCUGGCUCUUAGGAGCACUGUGCACACCUGGCACCGUUUCUCUGACCACCUGUGCACCUUUUGUAGACUGAGAAAAUAUUAUAAUCAGGGCAGCCUGAUGUUUUGGGGAUUGCAAUGCGAAAGCUUUGCUUUCCUUGGAUAUUUUUUCGUCUAUGUAUUAAUUUUACACUCCAUAUAAAGUAACAGAACGUAUGAAUAUUGGCCUUUUGUGCCUCUAAAUCAAUACAACUUUCAACAACGGAUCUCUUGGCUCUCGCAUCGAUGAAGAACGCAGC